GCUUAAGAGAAACAUUCUAAAGCUUCUAACUUUAACAAAAAAGUUUCUUAAUAG
rnacentral:tRNA from 1 species